GAUGAACGCUGGCGGCGUGCCUAAUACAUGCAAGUCGAGCGGACGGACGAGACGCUUGCUUCUCUGAUGUUAGCGGAGGGCGGGUGAGUAACACGUGGAUAACCUACCUAUCUGUCUGGGAUAACUUCGGGACACCGGCGCUAAUACCGGAUAAUAUUUUGCACCGCAUGGUUCAAAAGUGAAAGACGGUCUUGCUGUCUCUUAUCGAUGGAUCCGAGCUGCAUUAGCUAGUUGGUAAGGUACAGGCUUACCAAGGCAACUAGGCAUAUCCGACCUGCGAGGGUGAUCGGCCACACUGGAGCUGAGACACGGUCCAUACUCCUACGGUAGGCAGCAGUAUGCAAUCUGCCGCAGUAGUGGAAAGCCUGGCGCAGCAACGCCACGUGUGUGAUAAAGGCCUCCGGAUCGUAAAACCCUGUUAUGGGUUAUGAACAGAUUUCGAAUGAGCUGAGCACAGCGUGACGGUACCGAAUCAGAAAGCCCCGGCUAACUACGUG
rnacentral:rRNA from 1 species